CAAAUGGAGAGUUUGAUCCUGGCUCAGGAUGAACGCUGGCGGCGUGCCUAAUACAUGCAAGUCGAACGAAGAAGCAAGCUUGCUUGCUUCUUAGUGGCGAACGGGUGAGUAAUACAUAAAUAAUCUACCAUAAUGACUGGGAUAACCAAUGGAAACGCUGGCUAAUACCGGAUAGGUAAAACGAAGGCAUCUUUGUUUUAUUAAAGUAGGGCUACUACACAAUAUGAUGAGUUUAUGGCGCAUUAGCUAGUUGGUGAGGUAACGGCUCACCAAGGCGAUGAUGCGUAGCCGACCUGAGAGGGUGACCGGCCACACUGGGACUGAGACACGGCCCAGACUCCUACGGGAGGCAGCAGUAGGGAAUUUUCGGCAAUGAGCGCAAGCUUGACCGAGCAACGCCGCGUGAGUGAAGAAGGCCUUCGGGUUGUAAAGCUCUGUUGUAAGGGAAGAACACUUUUUAGAGGAAAUGCUAAGAAGCUGACGGUACCUUACCAGAAAGCCACGGCUAACUACGUGCCAGCAGCCGCGGUAAUACGUAGGUGGCAAGCGUUAUCCGGAAUUAUUGGGCGUAAAGGGUGCGUAGGCGGUUUAUUAAGUCUGUGGUGAAAGUGCGGGGCUCAACCCCGUAUGGCCACAGAAACUGAUAGACUAGAGUACAGGAGAGGGCAGUGGAAUUCCAUGUGUAGCGGUAAAAUGCGUAGAUAUAUGGAGGAACACCGGUGGCGAAGGCGGCUGCCUGGCCUGUAACUGACGCUGAGGCACGAAAGCGUGGGGAGCAAAUAGGAUUAGAUACCCUAGUAGUCCACGCUGUAAACGAUGAUUACUAAGUGUUGGAGAAAUUCAGUGCUGCAGUUAACGCAAUAAGUAAUCCGCCUGGGGAG
rnacentral:rRNA from 1 species